ACGGGUGAGUAACACGUGGGCAACCUACCUUAUCGACUGGGAUAACUCCGGGAAACCGGGGCUAAUACCGGAUAAUAUCUAGCACCUCCUGGUGCCGGAUUAAAAGAGGGCUUCUUGCUCUCACGAUGAGAUGGGCCCGCGGCGCAUUAGCUAGUUGGAGAGGUAACGGCUCCCCAAGGCGACGAUGCGUAGCCGACCUGAGAGGGUGAUCGGCCACACUGGGACUGAGACACGGCCCAGACUCCUACGGGAGGCAGCAGUAGGGAAUCUUCCGCAAUGGACGAAAGUCUGACGGAGCAACGCCGCGUGAGUGAUGAAGGGUUUCGGCUCGUAAAGCUCUGUUAUGAGGGAAGAACACGUACCGUUCGAAUAGGGCGGUACCUUGACGGUACCUCAUCAGAAAGCCACGGCUAACUACGUGCCAGCAGCCGCGGUAAUACGUAGGUGGCAAGCGUUGUCCGGAAUUAUUGGGCGUAAAGCGCGCGCAGGCGGCCUUUUAAGUCUGAUGUGAAAUCUUGCGGCUCAACCGCAAGCGGCCAUUGGAAACUGGGAGGCUUGAGUACAGAAGAGGAGAGUGGAAUUCCA
rnacentral:rRNA from 1 species